rnacentral:tmRNA from 1 species
GGGGUUGACUGGUAUCGACAGGGAAUGCCAAUGGUAAGUAAGCAUGUCGGAGCAGGAUUGCUCACUCCGUAACAAAUGGUGAUCGAACAACAACUGGCGAAUCUAACUUCGCAUUGGCUGCGUAAUCUAGGAUUAUAAAGCCUUUAAGCCCCCAGCUUGACGCCUGAUACAUAGCUGGCUGCUUUCAACUCUUCAGGAUAGGUAGGUCAAAUGCCUCUAUGACACUCCGAAGAUCCAGAGGAUCGACAAUUGCGACGCUGCCUGUAUGCUGAGCGAAAGUCUAAACACUGAGUACAGGAUAAACAUGUAGAAAGCUUAUGAUUGUUUCAUCUGGACGGGAGUUCGAAUCUCCCCAGCUCCACCA